GGGGAGAGCGAGAGAAGGGCACCUGGUGGAUGCCUUGGCGUCGAGAGGCGAAGAAGGACGCGGCACGCUGCGAUAAGCCUCGGGGAGCCGCGAGCGGGCCUCGAUCCGGGGAUCUCCGAAUGGGGCAACCCACCCCCCGCGAGGGGGGUACCCGGCCGUGAAUCCAUAGCGGCCGGGGGCGAACCCGGGGAACUGAAACAUCUCAGUACCCGGAGGAAAGGACAUCAACCGAGACUCCGUCAGUAGCGGCGAGCGAACGCGGACCAGGCCAGUGGUCGCGAGGUAAGAACCGGAAGCGUCUGGAAAGGCGCGCCAUAGCGGGUGACAGCCCCGUACGGGUAGAAAGCCGCGCGAUCCUCGAGUAGGGCGGGACACGCGAAAUCCUGCCCGAAGACGGGGGGACCACCCUCCAAGCCUAAGUACUCCUCGACGACCGAUAGCGAACCAGUACCGUGAGGGAAAGGUGAAAAGCACCCCGACGAGGGGGGUGAAAGAGACCCUGAAACCGGGUGCCUACAAGCAGUCGGGGCCCGACGCGUCCCCUCGGGGAUGCGGGCGGGUGACGGCGUACCUUUUGCAUAAUGGGUCAGCGAGUCGCGGUCGGCGGCGAGCCUAAGCCGCUAGGCGAAGGCGCAGCGAAAGCGAGUCCGAACAGGGCGAGCAUAGUCGCCGGCCGCGGACCCGAAACCGGGUGAUCUAGCCAUGGGCAGGUUGAAGGUGGGGUGACACCCACUGGAGGACCGGACGCACGCCUGUUGAAAAAGUCGGCGAUGACCUGUGGCUAGGGGUGAAAGGCCAAGCAAACCCGGAGAUAGCUGGUUCUCCGCGAAAGCUAUUGAGGUAGCGCGUCGGGCGGUGGCCCGCGGGGGUAGAGCACUGGAUGGGCUAGGGGGGCGCGAGCCCUACCAAACCUAACCAAACUCCGAAUACCGCGGCGUCCCAGCCCGGCAGACAGGCGGCGGGUGCUAAGGUCCGUCGCCGAGAGGGAAACAGCCCAGACCGCCGGCUAAGGUCCCCAAGUCGCGGCUAAGUGGGAAAGGAUGUGGGGCGGCCACAACAACCAGGAGGUUGGCUUAGAAGCAGCCAUCCUUUAAAGAAAGCGUAACAGCUCACUGGUCUAGCAGCCGCCCCGCGCCGAAGAUGUAACGGGGCUCAAGCCGCGCACCGAAGCCGCGGGUCCGCCGUCCCUCCGGGGCCGGCGGGCGGUAGCGGAGCGUCCCGUAGGCCCGCGAAGCCGUCCCGCGAGGGGCGGUGGAGGCAUCGGGAGUGAGAAUGCUGACAUGAGUAGCGAGAAGGAGGGUGAGAGACCCUCCCGCCGAAAGUCCAAGGGUUCCUGCGCAAGGCUAAUCCGCGCAGGGUGAGCCGGCCCCUAAGGCGAGGGCGAAGGCCGUAGCCGAUGGGAACCAGGUCAACAUUCCUGGGCCCGCUGGAGGUGACGGCGGUCGACAGUCGUCCGGCCUUAUCGGAUUGGCCGGGCUGCCGAGACCGUCCAGGAAACAGCCCCAGCACGAAGGACCGUACCCGAAACCGACACAGGUGGACUGGUCGAGCAUACCGAGGCGUUUGAGAGAACCGUACCGAAGGAACUCGGCAAAUUGCCCCCGUAACUUCGGGAGAAGGGGGCCUCGUCGCCGGGCAACCGGAGGCGAGGGGCACAGGCCAGGGGGUGGCGACUGUUUACUAAAAACACAGGGCUCUGCGAAGUCGCGAGACGACGUAUAGGGUCUGACGCCUGCCCGGUGCCGGAAGGUCAAGGGGAGCGGUGAGAGCCGCGAACCGAAGCCCCGGUAAACGGCGGCCGUAACUAUAACGGUCCUAAGGUAGCGAAAUUCCUUGUCGGGUAAGUUCCGACCUGCACGAAUGGCGUAACGACUUCCCCGCUGUCUCCGGUACGGGCUCAGCGAAAUUGAACUCCCCGUGAAGAUGCGGGGUACCCGCGGUCAGACGGAAAGACCCCGUGCACCUUUACUGCAGCUUCGCGCUGGCGGCCGACGGGGCGUGUGUAGGAUAGGCGGGAGCCAUUGAGGCGGGGGCGCCAGCCCCGGCGGAGGCAGCCUUGAAAUACCGCCCUCGGCCCGUUGGCCGUCUAACCGCGACCCGUGACCCGGGUCCGGGACCCCGCGUGGCGGGCAGUUUGACUGGGGCGGUCGCCUCCCAAAGCGUAACGGAGGCGCGCGACGGUGGGCUCGGGCCGGACGGAAACCGGCCGAUCGAGCGCAAGCGCACAAGCCCGCCUGACUGCGAGGCCGACGGGCCGAGCAGGGACGAAAGUCGGCGCUAGUGAUCCGGUGGUCCCGCGUGGAAGGGCCAUCGCUCAACGGAUAAAAGGUACGCCGGGGAUAACAGGCUGAUGACCCCCAAGAGUCCCCAUCGACGGGGUCGUUUGGCACCUCGAUGUCGGCUCAUCGCAUCCCGGGGCUGGAGCAGGUCCCAAGGGUUCGGCUGUUCGCCGAUUAAAGCGGUACGUGAGCUGGGUUUAGAACGUCGUGAGACAGUUCGGUCCCUAUC
rnacentral:rRNA from 1 species